AGAAGGGCGCGGCGCAGCUGUCUGGAGAGCGUGUCCUCAGGGCCUGCCCAGCCGCCCCACCACCCACCGCCCCGCCC
rnacentral:miRNA from 1 species